CAUUAUUCGCUCCAUCUUCUAAUUACACACUUGUCUCGUUUUGGUUUCUUCAUCACAGCAACCUUCUUUAGCUUAAUCUACUUUGCUUUACUUCUAAAAGUGAAAAAUCAAUUUCGUUGCUUUCCUGUGUUUCCUGAUUUCAUUUUCUGCCAAUUUCAACUUCUUGUCGCUCGGUUUUAUUUGAAAAGAAAAAAAAAAGGCAAACAUAUUUUGUUCAGCUUCAUAUGCCAACCAAUUGUGCUUCGGCGUUAUGUAAGCAAUGGAAUAUAGAGAGAUAAGGUAUAUGUCAAGUUGAGAUUCAAGUCGAACAACUGUCAAGUCUAAGUCGUAUACAUUGGCUAUGAUAUUGAUAGCGUGCUACGGUGAACACUGAUGGGAAAGUCAACCCUUUGGAACCCUAAAAUCUUUGAUCUGAAGUCGACAAACUUCACGUUCACAAAUUAUGCAGCUUAACCAACGAAUUACUUGAGUAGGGGCAUCUACCCCUAGUGGGCCUUCAUUGGCUCCAUCCAUGAUUUAGGAGGAGGUGGAGGCCCUUUAUUGGAGCCUGGCCUGCAGCUUAACCUAGAAAGUGACAUAACCAAG